rnacentral:rRNA from 1 species
UACGACGGGGGCUAGCGUUGUUCGGAAUCACUGGGCGUAAAGCGCACGCAGGCGGAUCGAUAAGUCGGGGGUGAAAGCCCGGGGCUCAACCUCGGAAUUGCCUUCGAUACUGUCGGUCUCGAGUCCGGGAGAGGUGAGUUGAAUUCCUAGUGUAGAGGUGAAAUUCGUAGAUAUUAGGAAGAACACCAGUGGCGAAGGCGGCUCACUGGCCCGGUACUGACGCUCAGGUGCGAAAGCGUGGGGAGCUAACAGG